rnacentral:misc_RNA from 1 species
CUGCGGAAGGAUCAUUAUAGAAAAUGACGUGAACUCUUAACGGAGUUCUCUCAAAGUGUUGGAGGGGAAGGCCUGCGCUUAAUUGCGCGGCUGUUUUUAAUCUCCUCCGCCUUUGAUACACACAUUGGAGUUUCUACUUUUUUGUUCUCUUUGGGAGGGUUCUGCUCUCCCAGAGGUAAACACAAACAAUCUUUUAUUAUACUAUUAACACAGUCAAAUGAAUUUUAAAAACAAAAUAUUCAAAACUUUCAACAACGGAUCUCUUGGUUCUCGCAUCGAUGAAGAACGCAGCGAACUGCGAUACGUAAUGUGAAUUGCAGAAUUCCGUGAAUCAUCGAAUCUUUGAACGCACAUUGCGCCCCUUGGUAUUCCGGGGGGCAUGCCUGUUUGAGCGUCAUUUCCCUCUCAAACUUUACGUUUGGUAGUGAGCGAUACUCUACUCUGGAGUUUGCUUGAAAAUGGGAGGCCAUAGGCGGAGCUUAGUUUGCGACUGUGCCGAGAGGCAUGGGAGCGGCCUAGCCACGAAAAGUCGUAUUAGGUUUUACCGACUCGGCGGAAUAGUGGAGAGGUUUCUUUUUUUUUUAUUCUAAGGUAAGCCGUCUGGCUAGACAAAAUUCUCAAAGUUUGACCUCAAAUCAGGUAGGAUUACCCGCUGAACUUAAGCAUAUCA